UACGAAGGGGGCUAGCGUUGCUCGGAAUCACUGGGCGUAAAGCGCACGUAGGCGGAUUGUUAAGUCAGGGGUGAAAUCCUGGAGCUCAACUCCAGAACUGCCUUUGAUACUGGCGAUCUUGAGUCCGGGAGAGGUGAGUGGAACUCCGAGUGUAGAGGUGAAAUUCGUAGAUAUUCGGAAGAACACCAGUGGCGAAGGCGGCUCACUGGCCCGGUACUGACGCUGAGGUGCGAAAGCCAGGGGAGCAAACGGG
rnacentral:rRNA from 1 species